CAAAAGCUCCCGCGUGGGGUUCUCGUCGCGGCCCCACGCGCCUGCGUGGCCAGCCCACCACCCUAAGCUAGCCCGGCCCCUUUCUCCACCCAGAUCCUCCCCGCAGACUCCUCCCUGUCUACCCCCACUGGCUGGAGGCUCCGCCCACUCUUCUAGCUGCUCCAGCCUCGUCCUCUGGCCCCAGUCUCUUCUUCAUCUUCCUUCACCUUCUUUUUGACUCUGGAAAGCCUCCCCCAAACCCCAGGACAAAGAUGACUUUUGGAAGAUUGCCCAAAACGAUAGCUAGAGUGCGCCCUGGGCUCUGGGAGAUGGAGGAGAGAGGCGACAGGAGGAGUCAAUGGUUUGCCCAGUGCUGCGGGGAGGCGCUUUGCACGCUCUAGAUCGCAAGCCAAGCGUCUAGUGCCAAGAGCUGUCAGGCAAAAGACUGGUCAGCUGGAGAGACUUCUCGGGACGCGGAGAGGUAGAACAGGUUUGCAGAGCGCUGGCAGCCUCGGUUGACACUAAGGAUCUAUUGCCCCGCGCGCGCGCGAUGCGUGAGCUGAAUUGGGGUGGAAGGGCCUGUUGAAGAGCCAGGGAAGCAGCGUUUAGGAGAGAGUUUUCCGAGGCCACGCCGUGACGGUCGACAUUAAUAUUAGUGGAAAGACGCGUGCCCCGCAGUAAGAUCAUGAGAAGGGAUCCAGGAAAUGAAAGAGGAGAGGCAAGAAGAUUUUACAACUUCAAAAGUAUUUAAAACUUAGCCUGCAAAAUAAAAACAUCUUCAUAAAAGUUAUGAAGACCCGUUUCUAAAGUAUACAAGCUAAAGAACUGAUUAUGUACCACAAAAGCUGUGAAGCCGAGAUCUUAAUUUUCUUAGCACCGGGUUGCAGCCCUUGGGUUGAAGAGAGCAAACGCCACUAAUAUGGAAACAUAAACCAGAGAGAGAUGCAUUCCUUUGCCUACCACCAGAUGCUCCAAUGGAAGCAUCAUUUGCAGGGAGGAUGCUUGGAAUUACGUCUGAGAUCAAGAAGCAGAUGGAAAGCACCCGUGUGCUCCAUGUCCCGCUGACUGCUUUUAAUACAAUCCAUCAGGAGCUGAUGCAGUCAGAUGAGUCCCCACCAGAGACUGAACCACGCUUCGGACACUCAGCAUCCAAAAGUGGGAAGAGCUUCAUUAAAUCCCCUUUUCUCUGUCUCAGCCUGUCUCUCUCUUUCCACUCUCACACGCAGACUCUAUUUCCCUCCAGUUGUUUACCAUAGUAAUGAAAACUAACUCAUCCAGGUGUCUGUCGUGCUUACUAAAAUGAAAUGCAGCAUAGCAUGCAUAGCAUGGUUGCUGCAGACAAGUCACUAAUCAUGCUCUUCCAAGCUUCUCCAAUUUGCCAGUCUGACUAUCAUGAUGGGAGCAUAGAACUUUAUGAGUGCCCAAACCAUUGAAUCAAGUGCUGAAAGACCAAAGCAGUGAAAUGCAUGGCUAGCUUCUUAGCUAGAUGGAAGGGGAAAUGGAAAAUUACCAAAAAAAAAAAAAAAAAAAAAACCCUCACAAGAUAGCAUCUCCCAAUUAUUUACAUACAUCUCUCUGAGGACUUAACCCACUGCUUUCUCUGCUCUAUUUUUAUGUUUCCGUUAAUAUACUAAUUUGAUUCUUACUAGGAGUCAGCUCAAUAUCAUUCAUCUCUCCUAAGAUUUGAGAAAAAUAGAGGCCAGACAAGGAAAUUAAACCAGUGUAGCACAGACUUGAAAUUGUUUCGGUUUACCAUUUUCCAAGGAACUGGUGUUCACAUGAAAAGAUUGUUCUACAAACCAGUGCUUCUGAGUUACCAUCCCAGGUGCCACAAAGACCUUGAUGGAGUUGCACAACCUCUAACUUCGCUUGUUCGGAAGUAAAGCUACAGAGUAAAGCUGACAGAGGGUUUCAGACGUUAAAUGAGAUGAUGAAUGACUCGCUAUUUUGUGAAACUGGAAUCACUUUGUAAAUAAGCCUGAUGGCCUCUCCAUGCUUGGCUUCACAAAUCACACAUCCGAGGUAGGUAUUAUUUGUUGGUCAUUACUUAAGUAAAUGAGGUGCUUAAAUUACCCUUGGAAAAUUAGCAGAAGAGAGUCUCUGGUCAGAAGAGUGAGGAUCUGAGUCCAAGUGAAAAAGAAGUUCGAGAAGUGGUUCAGGUUAUCAGAAUAGUAGUUGGAAAGGAAC
rnacentral:lncRNA from 1 species